GACGAACGCUGGCGGCGUGCUUAACACAUGCAAGUCGAACGGUGAAGCGCCUUCCUUUUUGGUGGGUGUGGAUGAGUGGCGAACGGGUGAGUAACACGUGAGUAACCUGCCCCCUUCUUCUGGAUAACCGCAUGACAGUGUGGCUAAUACGGGAUAUUCUGGGUCUGUCGCAUGAUGGGUCUGGGACAGAUAUUGUUUCGGUGGGGGAUGGGCUCGCGGCGUAUCAGCUUGUUGGUGGGGUGAUGGCCUACCAAGGCGGUGAGGGGUAGCCGGCCUGAGAGGGUGGGCGGCCACACUGGGACGGAGACGCGGCCCAGACUCCUGCGGGAGGCAGCAGGGGGGAAUAUGGCACAAUGGGCGCAAGCCUGAUGCAGCGACGCCGCGUGAGGGAUGGAGGCCGUCGGGUUGUGAACCUCUUUCGCCAGUGAAGCAGGCCUGCCUCGUUUGUGGGUGGGUUGACGGUAGCUGGAUAAGAAGCGCCGGCUAACUACGUG
rnacentral:rRNA from 1 species